UCCCUGGUAGCUCAGUGGUAAAGAAUCUGCCUGCAAUGCAAGAGACCCAGGUUCUAUCCCUGGGUUGGGAA
rnacentral:tRNA from 1 species